rfam:Triticum aestivum genome assembly, contig: Triticum_aestivum_CS42_TGACv1_scaffold_643141_T_2AL-0.306437_2BL-0.214792
CACCGCCCGUCACACUAUAGGAGAUGGCCAUGUCUGAAGUCAGUACCCUUAACUGUAAGGAGGGGAUGCCUAAGGCUAGGCUUGCGACUAGAGUGAAGUCGUAAGAAGGUAGCCGUACUGGAAGGUACGGCUG